UACGAAGGGGGGCUAGCGUUGUUCGGAAUUACUGGGCGUAAAGGGCGCGUAGGCGGUCCUGAUCGUCGGAUGUGAAAGGCCUGGGCUCAACCUGGGAACUGCAUCCGAUACGGCGGGACUGGAGUGUGGGAGAGGUUGGUGGAAUUCCCAGUGUAGAGGUGAAAUUCGUAGAUAUUGGGAAGAACACCGGUGGCGAAGGCGGCCAACUGGACCACAACUGACGCUGAGGCGCGAAAAGCGUGGGGAGCAAACAGG
rnacentral:rRNA from 1 species